ensembl:lncRNA
AUUCUUAUCCAAAAAUCACAUAUAGCUGGAAGGCUUCCUGUCCAGAUUUGAAUGUUGCUGCAGGAUUAAACGAGACAGCGUGUCAAGUGCCUCGCUCCGUGCGUGCUUCUCCCGGCUUUUUCCCGGGCGAUCAAAGCUAGCGGUGGGGGCUGUGGCAACUCUCUGACCCACAUCCAGGUGUGAGUAAGAACCGUGACCUUCUGUUGCUUGGGACACUGUCAGAUCCUCAGAAGCAGGAAACAGAGUCGGUUAAGAGGUCAAGUGACACAGCAGAUCAUCAGUAUACCUCCAGGUUCCAAAUCUGUGUUCUGGCUCAGCGUAGACACGAGGCUCCUAGAGCCGACAGGGACCUUGGUGUGAAGCAUCUCCUGAGCUACUUCCAGCAUACUCAGCAUCUCUGGAAUCUGACU